rnacentral:rRNA from 1 species
UACGAAGGGGGCUAGCGUUGUUCGGAUUUACUGGGCGUAAAGCGCACGUAGGCGGAUCGUUAAGUCGGGGGUGGAAUCCUGGAGCUCAACUCCAGAACUGCCUUCGAUACUGGCGAUCUCGAGUCCGGAAGAGGUGAGUGGAACUCCUAGUGUAGAGGUGGAAUUCGUAGAUAUUAGGAAGAACACCAGUGGCGAAGGCGGCUCACUGGUCCGGUACUGACGCUGAGGUGCGAAAGCGUGGGGAGCAAACAGG